UACGGAGGGUGCAAGCGUUAUCCGGAUUUACUGGGUUUAAAGGGUGCGUAGGCGGGCCUUUAAGUCAGUGGUGAAAUCUCCCCGCUCAACGGGGAAACUGCCAUUGAUACUAUUGGUCUUGAAUUUAGUUGAGGUGGGCGGAAUGUGUCGUGUAGCGGUGAAAUGCUUAGAUAUGCGGAGGAACACCGAUGGCGAAGGCAAUCCCCUGGGCCUGCACUGACGCUCAUGCACGAAAGCGUGGGGAGCAAACAGG
rnacentral:rRNA from 1 species